GCUACGGCCACACCCCGCCUGGUUUACGCCCGAUCUCGUUUGAUCUCGGAAGCUAAGAUAGGUUGGGCCUGGUUAGUACUUGGAUGGGGAGACUGCCUGGGAAUACCAGGUGCUGUAAGCU
rnacentral:rRNA from 1 species